rnacentral:rRNA from 1 species
AAGUAAAAGUCGUAACAAGGUUUCCGUAGGUGAACCUGCGGAAGGAUCAUUAUCGUACAAUGGAGGUGCUGGGGUUGUCGCUGACUUUUGAAAGGGUCGUGCACACCUCGGUGCUCUCGCACAUAAUCCAUCUCACCCCUUUUGUGCAUCACCGCGUGGGGACCCCUUUUGGCUAGUUCUGAGGGGGGUUUUCACGUUUUUACACAGACACCCUUUUAACUCAAUGUGUAGAACGUAAUGUGAAUUGCAGAAUUCAGUGAAUCAUCGAAUCUUUGAACGCACCUUGCGCCCUUUGGCAUUCCGAGGGGCACACCCGUUUGAGUGUCGUGACAUCCUCAAAACCUUCUUGGUUUCUUGACCGGGAAGGCUUUUGGACUUUGGAGGCUUUUGCUGGCCUUCCUUUGUUGGAGCCAGCUCCUCUGAAAUGAAUUAGUGGGGUCUGCUUUGCCGAUCCUUGACGUGAUAAGAUGUUUUCUACGUCUUGGGUUUCGCACUGUUCGAUCUGGAUCCUGCUUCUAACUGUCUCAUAGAAGACAAUGGUCAAGUGAUUGCCACUUGACCCACAAACCUUGACCUCAAAUCGGGUGAGACUACCCGCUGAACUUAAGCAUAUCAAUAAGCGGAGGAA